AUGCAUAACUGUUGCGGGGUUAUAUGUACAACGCACAUCCCAUUUGGACCAAACUGCAACCAUGAGAAGAAUGAUAUCAUUCAGAUGCAGCUCGUCAUUGAUCCAGACAUGAGGUUCAAGAACAUUUGGUUGGGACCAGCAGGUAGCAUGAACCAGUUGAGCCUUUUGUAUGACUCUGAUGUCUUCAAGGAGUGCGAGAAGGGCUGUGGGCUGAAUGGCAGCAAGCUGAAGGUAGCAUUAGAUGGAUCAGAAGUCGGGGAGUACAUAAUUGGUGAUGCAGGAUAUCCUCUUCUCCCAUGGCUACUCACACCUUACCAGGAAGAAGACCUCUCAGAUUCCAAGGCAGAGUUCAAUAGGAGACAUUCUGCAGCCACAACCUGUGCUCUGAAGGCGCUGGCAAGGCUCAAAGAUACAUGGAAGUGCCUGCAAGGAGAGGCGUGGUGGCCAACCAAUCUGAAAAAUAUAAGUAGAAUGAUACAUGCCUGUUGCACGUUGCAUAACAUAGUCAUAGAAAUGGAGGAUGAUGCAGCCAUGCUGAGCACCAAGUGUGGGAAUUACUGUAAGGAAGUGCGCCAGUUAGCAAUUGAGGACGCUGUCAGGGCAAGGGAUAUGCUGUCGCAGCACUUCUUGGCCAGCAGGUCAUCCAAACUGGGA
rnacentral:rRNA from 1 species